AGCAGCAGCCGCGGGAAAACGUAGGUGGCAAGUGUUGCCCGGAAUUAUUGGGCGUAAAGCGCGCGCAGGCGGCCUAUCCAGUCUGUCUUAAAAGUUCGGGGCUCAACCCCGUGAUGGGAUGGAAACUGCUGAUCUAGAGUAUCGGAGAGGAAAGUGGAAUUCCUAGUGUAGCGGUGAAAUGCGUAGAUAUUAGGAAGAACACCAGUGGCGAAGGCGACUUUCUGGACGAAAACUGACGCUGAGGCGCGAAAGCCAGGGGAGCGAACGGGAUUAGAUACCCCGGUAGUCCCUGUCUCUUAUACA
rnacentral:rRNA from 1 species